rnacentral:rRNA from 1 species
UCAUAUUUAAUGAAAGGACAAGUAUAAGAAAUUAUUUUAUUGUUUUAUUGAAUAGCAAAAAUAAUUUUAUAAGGAAUAAAUUUAGUAUAGUUUAUGGAAAAAUUUUAUAUAUAGUACUGAAAAGGAAAUAUUGAAAUAAAUGAAAAUUCAUUUUUUUAGAAGAAAGUUUAUGUACCUUUUGUAUCAGGGUCUAUUAAUUAUGAAUAUUAAAUAAAUAUAUUCCCGAAAAGAAAGGAUUUAUAAUUUAAAUUGAGUUUUUGUGUCAAAAAAAUUUAUAAUUAAGUGAUGGAAAUGAAAAGUUAUGCGUAUUUCUUGAUAUCUGGUUUUUUAAGAAAUAAAUUAAAUUUAAAAUUUUAGUUUUUAUUUGAAAAAUGAGGUUUAAGUAGGUUCUAGAAUUUAGAGAUGUUGGGGAAAAGCUUGAUAUCUAAAGUUAUAUUACAUAAAUGAUUUGAGAUUAUAUUCUUGAAAGUGGAAAUUAAUUUAAUUAUGUUAUAAUAGUGUAUGAAUUGUGAUUUUUUACUUAAUUAAUUUUAUAUUAAAAAGUAUAAUAUAAUAAAGAAUUUAUAAUUAUAAUGAUGGAAUUAGUAAAGAAAGAUUUAUGUUAUGUUUAUUAAUGGGAAAUUAUUUAAAGGAAUUAGGCAAGAUUUUGAUGUUCGCCUGUUUAACAAAAACAUGUCCUUUAGGAAAAAUUAAAGGUCUGACCUGCCCACUGAUAUUAUUAAAGGGCUGCAGUAUUUUGACUGUACAAAGGUAGCAUAAUCAUUAGUUUCUUAAUUAGAAACUGGAAUGAAUGGUUUUACGAGAUAUCAACUGUCUACUGAAUAAAAAAUUGAAUUUUAUUUUUAAGUUAAAAGGCUUAAAUGGGUUUUGGGGACGAGAAGACCCUAUAGAUCUUUAUAUUGGGAUUAAUAAUAUUUUAUGUAGUGGAGUUAAAAUUAUAUUAUUUUUAAUAUUAUGUUGGGGUGACACGGAAAUAAAGAAACUUUUUGUAUGAAUAUUUAACUUGAAUUGAAGAAUAUAGAAUCCUUAAUUUAGGAAAUAAGAUUAAGAUACCUUAGGGAUAACAGCGUAAUUUUGUUAGGAAGUUCAUAUUUAUAAUGAAGUUUGCGACCUCGAUGUUGGAUUAAGAUUAUUAACUGGUGCAGAAGUUAGUUAAAUAGGUCUGUUCGACCUUUAAAAUCUUACAUGAUCUGAGUUCAAACCGGUGUGAGCCAGGUUGGUUUCUAUCUCAAAAUUAAGAAGAAUAUUUUAGUACGAAAGGACCAAAUAUUUAAAAUAUUUUUAAUAUUAUAGAAUGAUAUA